GCUGACGUGGCUCAGCUGGUAGAGCGCCGUCUUGGUAAGCCGGAGGUCGCGGGUUCGAAUCCCGCCGUCAGCU
rnacentral:tRNA from 1 species